UACGGAGGGGGUUAGCGUUGUUCGGAAUUACUGGGCGUAAAGCGCGCGUAGGCGGAUUGGAAAGUUGGGGGUGAAAUCCCGGGGCUCAACCUCGGAACUGCCUCCAAAACUCCCAGUCUUGAGUUCGAGAGAGGUGAGUGGAACUCCGAGUGUAGAGGUGAAAUUCGUAGAUAUUCGGAAGAACACCAGUGGCGAAGGCGGCUCACUGGCUCGAUACUGACGCUGAGGUGCGAAAGCUAGGGGAG
rnacentral:rRNA from 1 species